GAACCCGGAAGGAGGUGGUCCCACGUUGAUGACGUACAGGACUCGUGAGGUGGCUGGCCGCUAGGCCGCCGUCCCAAGACGUCGGACCGUUGUCCGUUCCCCAUCGGGGACGGCGGUCAGGCAAGUAGUGGACAGUCACCCGAUUCCCGGGCCGCCGACCAUCGUCCAGUCGGCCCUUGCAUCGCGACGUAGCGUCAGGUGCGAGGAGCAGCCCGGGUUUCGUACUCC
rnacentral:sRNA from 1 species